CCCAUUAUCGUAACAGACGAGCCGCCUGUGAUCCAGUCUCCCACGAAAAAAUCUCCGGAUGGGCCUCGAACGGAAAUUAUAUCCAAACUUUCAAGAAAUUCAUCACAACUCAAAACCAAAUCUGACACCAAAAGCAAGGAAAAAGUAAAGACCAAACUGAAGAAAGACGGCAGUACCGUCACAAUCAUAGUCGACAAAACAAAGACCAAAAAUAAAACGAAAGGUUUGACCGAUUCCUACGACCAGACGAACCAAACCCUCAUACAAGACGGGAUCGAAGAACAAGAUAUUUUAACAAAAGAACAAAAACAACGAUUAAAAGAAAUAAAAAUUGCCAAGAAUGUCACUCGACAUAAAAUCAUAACCAACCCGGAUGGAACUAUCAGGUUAGACACGGUUAAAACAAAGCUCUCAGAGAAAGAUAAAAAGUCCGUAAAGACAAAAGAAUUGGAGAGUUUAGUGCGCACAAAGAAGACAGUAACUACCGAAGCGCCGGGAUGUAUUACUAUUACCC